CAGUAGCAUAUGCUUGUCUCAAAGAUUAAGCCAUGCAUGUGUAAGUGCACGUCCUGCGUAAGACCAAACCGCGGAUGGCUCAUUAAAUCAGCUACGCAUGGUCGGUUGCCAGUUAUUCUACUCGGAUAACUGUAGUAAUUCUAGAGCUAAUACGUGCCAAAUAUGUGAUGCUCGUGAGAGUGUUACGGCUUUAUUAGAUCAAAAUCAACCAGGGCUUGCUCUGUUGACUUUGAUGACUCUGGAUAACUUCAACUAAUCGCAUGACCUUGUGUCAGCGAUGCAACUGGCAUAUGCCUGCCCUAUCAGUUAUCGACGGUACCCUAGUGGGCUACGGUGACUGUAACGGGUAACGGGGAAUCAGAGUUUGAUUCCGGAGAGGGAGCCUGAGAAAUGGCUACCACAUCCAAGGAAGGCAGCAGGCGCGCAACUUACCCACUCCCAGCAUGGGGAGGUAGUGACAAGUAAUAACCAAUGUUAUUGCAUCUGCAUAUAACAUAUGGGAAUGAAAGGUGUGCAAUAGACCACCUUGAGUACCAAUUGGAGGGCAAGUCUGGUGCCAGCAGCCGCGGUAAUUCCAGCUCCAAUAGCAUAUACUAAAGUUGUUGCAGUUAAAAAGCUCGUAGUUGAAAUCAAGGUGUCGGCGGCGCCGGUCCUGGCCUCACGGUUAAGGACUGGAUUAGUUGUCACAUCUUAAUCUGUUGGAUUAGCCUUAGAUGCGCUUCAUUGUGUGUCUAUGGCAUCCAACGAGUUUACUUUGAAAAAAUUAGAGUGCUCAACACAGGUUUACGCCUGUAUACUGUUGCAUGGAAUAAUAAAAUAGGACUUCGGUUCUAUUUUGUUGGUUUUCUGAACAGAAGUAAUGAUUAAAAGGGACGGCGGGGGGCAUUCGUAUGGCUGGGGGAGAGGUGAAAUUCGUAGAUCCUGGCCAGACGACCUACUGCGAAAGCAUUUGCCAACAAUGUUUUCAUUAAUCAAGAACGAAAGUCAGAGGUUCGAAAGCGAUUAGAUGCCGCUCUAGUUCUGACCAUAAACGCUAUCAUCUCGUGGCCCGGGAGGGCAAAUUUAAUUUGUUCUUCUUGGGAGGCCUCCGCGAAAGCCUUAAGUCUUUCGAUUCCGGGGGUAGUAUGGUUGCAAAGUCGAAACUUAAAGGAAUUGACGGAAGGGCACCACCAGGAGUGGAGCCUGUUGCUUAAUUUGACUCAACACGGGAAACCUUACCCGGCCCGGACACUGGGAGGAUUGACAGAUUGAAAGCUCUUUCUUGAUUCAGUGGAUGGUGGUGCAUGGCCGUUUUUAGUUGGUGGAGUGAUUUGUCUGGUUAAUUCCGAUAACGAACGAGACUCUAACCUACUAAAUAGUAAGCCAGUUAUACUCUGUAUGCUGGUAAUGACUUCUUAGAGGGACAAUCGGAUAACAAUCCAGUCGAGGUGGAGCUAAAACAGGUCUGUGAUGCCCUUAGAUGUCCGGGGCCGCAAACGCGCUACAAUGGCAGUGUCAAUAAGUCUUUUCCGAUGCCGCAAGGCUGAGGGAACCUCUUUAAUCACUGUCGUGACAGGGAUCGUGGCUUGUAAUUAUUCCACGUGAACGAGGAAUUCCCAGUAAGCGCUAGUCAUUAGCUAGUGCUGAUUACGUCCCUGCCCUUUGUACACACCGCCCGUCGCUACUACCGAUUGAAUGGUUUAGUGAGGUUAUUGGAUUGGCGUUGGUGAGGUGGUUAAACAUCUUACUGAUGCUGAGAAGAUAAUCAAACUUGACCAUUUAGAGGAAGUAAAAGUCGUAACAAGGUUUCC
rnacentral:rRNA from 1 species